rnacentral:rRNA from 1 species
UAUUGGACAAUGGGGGAAACCCUGAUCCAGCCAUGCCGCGUGUGUGAAGAAGGUCUUCAGAUUGUAAAGCACUUUAAGUUGGGAGGAAGGGUUGUUGGCUAAUAUCCAGCAAUUUUGACGUUACCGACAGAAUAAGACCCGGCUAACUCUGUGCGAGCAGCCGCGGUAAUACAGAGGGUGCAAGCGUUAAUCGGAAGUACGGGGCGUAAAGCGCGCGGAGGGUGGUUAGUAAAGUUGGGGUGAAAUCCCCCGGGUUAAACCUGGAACUGCCUUCAAAACCGGUGAGCUUGAGGACGGGAGAGGGGUGUUGAAAUUCCUGGGGAGCCGUGAAAUGCGGUAGUAUAAGAAGGAACCCCCAGGGCGAAGGCGAACUCCUGGGCCUAUUCCGACACCUGGGGUCGAAAGCGUGGGGAGCAAAC